rnacentral:tRNA from 1 species
AGCUCAGUUGGUUAGAGCAGCUGACUCUUAAUCAGCGGGUCCGGGGUUCGAGUCCCUGGCGGCGCACGUCCA